rnacentral:rRNA from 1 species
AUUGAACGCUGGCGGCAGGCCUAACACAUGCAAGUCGAGCGGAGCGGCGGACGGGUGAGUAAUGCCUAGGAAUCUGCCUGGUAGUGGGGGCUAACGUCCGGAAACGGGCGCUAAUACCGCAUCCUAUCAGAUGAGCCUAGGUCGGAUUAGCUAGUUGGUGGGGUAAAGGCCUACCAAGGCGACGAUCCGUAACUGGUCUGAGAGGAUGAUCAGUCACCAUGGAACUGAGACAAGGGCCAGAAUGCCACGGGAGGCAGCAGGGGGGAAUAUUGGGAAAAGGGGGAAAGCCUGAUCCAGCCAUGCCGCGUGUGUGAAGAAGGUCUUCGGAUUGUAAAGCACUUUAAGUUGGGAGGCGUUACCAACAGAAUAAGCACCGGCUAACUUCGUGCCAGCAGCCGCGGUAAUUC